UCGGGCGAACUAGAGUAGGGGGCUUCAUCACCAAUAGAGCUCCGGACCACCUGGACCAUCUCUCUUCCUGUAGUAUUUUCUCGUGCUUGAGCUCCGUUUUCUAUGGAGCCAUAUUUUUCCUCCUCGUUGCGAUGUAGCAACCUAGUGCUACAAACAGCUCGUUAGACAGCGGGGUGUAGCUUUCGUAUUCUUUUUUUUUGCCGUUAGAAGCAAGGACUUUAACCUUUGUUAUUCUGGCUGUUGCAGCGGGGGUUGUAGUUCCAUUUGGUCCCUGAAUUUAGGCGGCAGGUUGGAAUCGAAGCCCUGGUGGUUCUUGCUACGAGUUGACAUCUACCUUCUGCGAUGCAAAAUGCAAAACUAGAUCUCUGGAGGUCUAGCAAAUUUGGUUGUAGAAGGCAGCAUCGUUGGCAAGGCGGCUGCUGGUCUGGUUGGGAGUUGCAAAAUUAUGAGUCUUGUAGUGGCAUGCGAAAGAUUUAGAUCUUCCAACGGGCCAGAAGGCGGUGGUCUAGUGAUGUUGCAAAACUGCAACACGUCGACAUCAAGCUUGAUAAAUUGCCGUCAAGAGCCUCGGCAUCAUUUACUCUAUUCACUUCUCUUUUCCGUGUAAUUUGUCGGGGCGAUUGGAGCUUCUGUGCUUUUUUCUUACGACAUUCCAUUCCAUUGAUAGAGCCUAGAAACUCUUGUUCUUAGGCAAUGAAGUUAUAGUUGGCAAGACCUAGUGCUAAUCACGGAAUUUUGUCCAAGUACAAUAGGCUGCUUCCGUAUAAUACAAACACUUGUUUCUUUUUUCUUGGUCAAGCCAAAGAUAAUUCAAUUAAGUGAUAACUGUGCAUCUCUAAAGGAUCUUGAUGAAUCUUCAUUGCUACAAAUGCAUUGGAGCAGGGUUUUCAUUGAAUUAAUCGCUCCAAAAUAGAGUAUUGCUGUUCUCUCAUGAAUGCGGAUUGUUGAGACUCGAGUGGAGCAGUAAGCGAGUGCGAGCUUGGAAUUUAAUCUCCAAAGAAGUGUCAACCACUUGCUGAUAAAGGAAGGUACUUGGCAAGGCGUGGAGGUGGUUGAAGGUACCAACUAAGAACUUGAGCUGGGACGUUGAGGACACCCGACACACUCACAACAUGAUCGUGUAGGAAGUUAUCGAUAGUGGAAAUCAAGAGCAGGCUCAGUGUGUGCCGAAGGAGGAGCAUAAGCAUCGCAGUUCCAUUCGACAACUUUGAAUCCGCAUCCAGAGUAGAGCAGGAAUGAAUUCGCAAGAUUGUGUUGGGGGAAGAGAGCACUCGGUGAACAAAAAAUGGGCUCUUCUUCAAAGUCCGUGGUCAGUAGCAUAUUGCAAGCUCAUUCUUCAUCCUGGUAUAAUAUCAGCACAUGAGUCAAGCUACGAGGGCUCUCCUUGAUAACAAUCUUCAGGGAUAGAAGGUAGUGUGGUCAACAAUGGCUUCCUUGUUAAGUUGGUUGUCCUUCAAUUAGAGCUAGGAUUUAGAAGGAAUAUUAGAAUUAGAAUUAGGUAGAUAGAAUCAAGUCAUCAAAUCACCAAUUCAGCCAUUGCUUAUUUUGCCAUCAUUAUAAAAGUUCUAUGGUGGUGCUUCGGAGCAUCUUCCGAGGGCUUCCAUCACCGAGGUUCGACAGUAGGAAAGCUCAGCAAGAAAUCAUAAGAAGAGCUCAAAACAUUCAAGUGCCACACCUCAUUGGUUUUAAAUUAUAAAUUUUUAUUGAA